UUUGAUUUUUCAAAAAAUUUAUUGUAAAUAAAAUUUAAUAAUCAAAU
rnacentral:tRNA from 1 species